GUGGCUGCUGCAUGGCUUUCUCAGCUGCUGCAUUUUCAGGCCCUUCCAGUGGCUCAGCGUUCAGCAUCAUGUUGGCCAGAGCCACUUUGGGCUGCGCUGGGGUCUUUGUGCUGAAUGUCCCCGUGUAGGUCACUUUGGGCUGGGAUUUCAGGUAGCCGGUAAUGAAGACGAGGUAUUUCUGUCCACUUCUGAGGCCCCCAAUGACACGUUCGGUGCCGGUUACGUUUUGCUUCAGCACAAGAGAGUGGUCGUGUGCUAAGGUGAUGGCAAGAUCAAACACGUAGGCGUUGUGUGGCUCAGGGCUGGCCCAGCGCAGCCUGGCGCUGUUCUCGGUGACAUCUGUGAUCUGGAUGUCAUUCAUCUUUGCACCUUGUCUUCUCCUGCCGCUUGCUGCUGCAGCUGUGGUGCUCGUUGUGGUGCGGCUGGUGGCUUUGGUGUUGGCAGCAGUGCUUCCUUGGCUCUGUACAGUAGCAUUCACCUGGACAGUAGUGCUCUCUGUGGGCCUCUCCGUGGCUCUGGUUUGGGCCGUGGUGCUGGCAGUGGUGGUCUUGGCAUGGGCACUGGUGCUUGCAGCAGGCUUGAAGGUGGUGCUUAGUGUGGUGGUGGUGCUUAUGGUUUGGGUUACGGUUCCAUUGGGGGCUAUAUAUACUGCUUUUUGUCCAGUGUGCCCAGGGCUCUUGGGUGUUUGAUCAGCCUGGAGCCACUUGCACUGUUUCCUUAUUUCUG
rnacentral:lncRNA from 1 species